AACGUAGGGGGCGAGCGUUGCCCGGAUUCACUGGGCGUAAAGCGCGUGUAGGCGGUUCGUUAAGUCGGAUGUGAAAUCUCCGAGCUCAACUCGGAAACUGCGUCCGAUACUGGCGGACUUGAGGACGGUAGAGGUCGGUGGAAUACCCAGUGUACCGGUGAAAUGGACAGAUAUUGGGUGGAACACCAGUGGCGAAGGCGGCCGACUGGGCCGGUCCUGACGCUGAGACGCGAAAGCCAGGGGAGCGAACCGG
rnacentral:misc_RNA from 1 species